rnacentral:rRNA from 1 species
UACGGAGGGUGCAAGCGUUAUCCGGAUUCACUGGGUUUAAAGGGUGCGUAGGCGGUUUGGUAAGUCUUAUGUGAAAUCUACAGGCUCAACUUGUAGUCUGCAUGAGAAACUGCCGGGCUUGAGUAUGGGAGAGGUGAGUGGAAUUCCUGGUGUAGCGGUGAAAUGCGUAGAUAUCGGAAGGAACACCUGUGGCGAAAGCGGCUCACUGGACCAUUACUGACGCUGAGGCACGAAAGCUAGGGGAGCAAACAGG